rnacentral:rRNA from 1 species
CUACGGGUGGCUGCAGUGGGGAAUUUUGGACAAUGGGGGCAACCCUGAUCCAGCCAUUCCGCGUGAGUGAAGAAGGCCUUCGGGUUGUAAAGCUCUUUCGGCCGGGAAGAAAUCGCAUCUCCUAAUACGGGGUGUGGAUGACGGUACCGGAAGAAGAAGCACCGGCUAACUACGUGCCAGCAGCCGCGGUAAUACGUAGGGUGAGUGCGUUAAUCGGAAUUACGCGGCGUAAAGCGUGCGAAGGAGGCGCGAAAUCCCCGGGCUUAAGCUGGGAACUGCGUUUGUGACUGGUGGGCUUGAGUGCGGCAGAGGGGGGUGGAAUUCCACGUGUAGCAGUGAAAUGCGUAGAGAUGUGGAGGAACACCGAUGGCGAAGGCAGCCCCCUGGGUCGACACUGACGCUCAUGCACGAAAGCGUGGGGAGCAAACAGGAUUAGAUACCCUAGUAGUC